CAGAAAGACUUUGACGUAAGGAUCUGAGGUGCCCCCCAUGUCCAUAGCUGCCAGGUCCUGAGCCUGAAGGAUUCCCACGAUGAGCUUUGUGGAGAGGAACCUGGGAAUCGGUGAAGUUGUAAUCCAAGGAGAACUCCAACCUCCCCAACUUCUCCUGCUCUUUCUCCUCUUCCGCACCCUCCUUCUUCACCUCCCCUUCCUGCAAGGAGACGCAUCUGUGCCCAGGAGCAUGGAACAUCUCUAAGCUAGAAGCUCGACAUGGCUGACCUUAAUCCCUCUUGUUUGCCCUCCCCACCGCUACCCAUGCUUUCCCUCCACCGUUUGGCCCUCUUGCUUUUGUGCUCGUAUACUGUCUCUGCACGUAACUGGAUUUAACCCGGCAAUUUUAAUCCAGACGCUGGAUCUCUGAAAGCUUGGAUAAAAAGGAGUUGGCUUUCUCCGUCAUUCCGCAACCAGCCGCAAUAUCAUGAGAUCCAAUAGAAGAACUAUAUUCCACCUUUGGAAAGAUAAUGUUGCUUAGGUUUGUAGAGGCAUACUGUAUGUUUAAUAUGACAGUUGCAGUGUUCCAUACAGGAGU